rnacentral:tRNA from 1 species
GUGCGUAUAGCUCAGCUGGAUAGAGCGCUUGACUACGGAUCAAGAGGUCGUGAGUUCGAAUCUUACUACGCACG